UUUACCUUUCGUGCAGUUUCUUUAGGCUUUCAGUCUCUCAUUUUGAGCUUUCUUUUGGUUUUAGCUAAAAAUGGAACUUGCGUGUGGGACCCACUUUCAUCAAAACGACCCCAGAUGGAAUUUUUGAUGGUUUUGUUAAAUCUGGAAUACCAACUCCGAUGGGGCAAGAUAUUUCAUUUGUGCGCCCGAGGUUCUGAAUCAAUCACGAACGUCCCCUUGAAGAAUUCGGAGUUUGAGCGAAUCAGAGAUCGUGUUGAGAUCUAGUGCAGACUUUAGCGACUAGAUAUCCAACUUUUAGCGACCAGAAUUUGGUUUUAAGCGACCAGUUUCGAAUAUUUAUACCUAGAUUUUUCAACUUAACCCUAAUUUUUCCAAAUGUGAUUUAUUGAGCUUGGGAGCUCCAAUUUGAGUGACUCAAAAACCUGGGUGAUUGUUGGGAGUGUGGAUACGUGGUGAUGUGAUUUGGAGCUACUCCGUUUGAGGAUGUUUUAGUUCUCAAAUUGUGUUCAUCUUUCGAAUUGAUGAUUCGUUUUCACUCCCGUAAUAGAGACACAUCUCGCGGGUUCUUACCCGUUCCCAAGAAUACGAAUGAUAAGGCAGUGGAUUAUUAUCAAGAGGUUAUUCAUGGGGUAAUAUUACUAACUUAUCCUCACCUCAGUCUUAUGAUCAAUACAAUCUCUUCGCUGAAAAUUUUGAGGUAAACCACAUGUUCGAUAAAAUUCCCGAGAAGGUUAAUGAUGUAGAUUCGUCGGACAUUAUCUUUGUUGAAAAUAAUAGGAAUACUUUUUAAGAAUGCACAACAGGCCAUCACUAAUAAUUUCUUCGGUGCUUAGUGUGUAUGAUCAAAUGGUGACAGAUCUAAGAUUUUUCUAAUUACACUACUAAUGAUGAAGCAAUUUUAUUUCCAAACAAGGUUCUCUCUGAACUGCCUCAGUAUGGUCAUGAUCAAUCAAGUCGAGAAGGUGGACAAGUACAUGUCUGUACCACUACUCUGUCGUUAUGUGCUUUCGGUGUGCACAAUCAUGAUUCCAUGAAUAUUUGAACACUUCAAUCCUGGGUGAAGUUGAUGAUGCUAAGCUCGUGAAAGCAAUCACUGCAGCGAAGUAUUGGAUGGUAGUUGUUGGACGAGAGUACAAUGAUCGUGAGCUCCCUGAUGACUUGAGACUGUUUUCAAUGAACGAGGUAAAUGUUAAAGAUAUCAGAAUUAAUACAACAAGGAUGUUUGACGACUGUCUUCUGUGGUCUUGUACCAUUGGUUGUGGCCACAAGGUUGCAAGAUCAUUACUUGGAGAUCCCAAUUUUAGUUGGACUGUUAUUUUUAAGGAAUUUGUUUUGAAGGACAUAGACGAAGAAAUGGAUAAAGCAUUUUUCCUCAUUUGAUACUACUAUUGUCUGGAAUGCUCGAAGUGCACUAUUGGAGGCAGGAAUGGUUGUGCAGCUAGUGCCAAAUGGGAAUAACAUGGAUGAAUAUAUCAGUGGCUGUUUUGUGAGGUUCUUCCUACAUUUUGUUGUGGCAUACAACGUGGAUGUUAUUUAUAUGAUUCAUCUAUAGGCACUAGGGUGAUUUAUAGUGUCUAUGCCGUUAACUGGACGAGAAUAUACCAGAUUGCUGGAGUAGCUAAGAGGAUGGAUACAUCUGUUUCUGUGGCAGCUGAAAGUUAUAAGUUUACUCGUCUUAUGUCACUGGAUCGGCCAAAGGUGGUGCCAACUUUUUUCCAAUUGAUUUUUAUAUCCAAAGAACUUCAGUGGUAGGUCGCCUAAUUAGGAACGAUUUCUUUUUUUUAACUGAUGAAGAGGGAUUACAUCUUAAUUUUGUUGUCGAUUA